rnacentral:rRNA from 1 species
GAACGGCAGCGCGGGAGCAAUCCUGGCGGCGAGUGGCGAACGGGUGAGUAAUACAUCGGAACGUGCCCAAUCGUGGGGGAUAACGCAGCGAAAGCUGUGCUAAUACCGCAUACGAUCUACGGAUGAAAGCAGGGGAUCGCAAGACCUUGCGCGAAUGGAGCGGCCGAUGGCAGAUUAGGUAGUUGGUGAGGUAAAGGCUCACCAAGCCUUCGAUCUGUAGCUGGUCUGAGAGGACGACCAGCCACACUGGGACUGAGACACGGCCCAGACUCCUACGGGAGGCAGCAGUGGGGAAUUUUGGACAAUGGGCGCAAGCCUGAUCCAGCCAUGCCGCGUGCAGGAUGAAGGCCUUCGGGUUGUAAACUGCUUUUGUACGGAACGAAACGGCCUUUUCUAAUAAAGAGGGCUAAUGACGGUACCGUAAGAAUAAGCACCGGCUAACUACGUGCCAGCAGCCGCGGUAAUACGUAGGGUGCAAGCGUUAAUCGGAAUUACUGGGCGUAAAGCGUGCGCAGGCGGUGAUGUAAGACAGUUG